rnacentral:rRNA from 1 species
UACGUAGGGGGCUAGCGUUGUCCGGAAUCAUUGGGCGUAAAGCGCGCGUAGGCGGCCCGGUAAGUCCGCUGUAAAAGUCAAAGGCUCAACCUUUGAAUGUCAGUGGAUACUGCCGGGCUAGAGUCCGGAAGAGGCGAGUGGAACUCCUGGUGUAGCGGUGGAAUGCGCAGAUAUCAGGAAGAACACCGACGGCGAAGGCAGCUCGCUGGGGACGGUACUGACGCUGAGGCGCGAAAGCGUGGGGAGCGAACAGG